UGGGCAGAUGGGAAAUCUGGAAUACUUUGUUUCUAGAGAGAUGUUCUGCGUUAGAGAAGAAGCAGAGGCUGCAGGGAAGGCGUGGUUUAUGUAUUUACAAUGCGAGAGGACAUGUGGAAGUUCCCUUGUUAUGUCGCCUCACAAGGAAUAAAAGCAACAGGAUGAGGACAGCAUGACUCAGAAGCACAAGCAACAGGAGACAUGAUCAACAGGACUGGAUCAAAACUGGAAACAUUCGGUGUCCUUCAAAGGACACCAUCAGGAAAGUGAAAAGACAGGCCAGGUGCAGUGGCUCAUACCUGUAAUCUCAGCACUUUGGGAGGCAGACAGGCCAGGUGCAGUGGC
rnacentral:lncRNA from 10 species